rnacentral:rRNA from 1 species
UUAAUUGAAGAGUUUGAUCAUGGCUCAGAUUGAACGCUGGCGGCAGGCCUAACACAUGCAAGUCGAGCGGCAGCACAGAGGAACUUGUUCCUUGGGUGGCGAGCGGCGGACGGGUGAGUAAUGCCUGGGAAAUUGCCCGGUAGAGGGGGGAUAACCAUUGGAAACGAUGGCUAAUACCGCAUAACCUCGCAAGAGCAAAGCAGGGGACCUUCGGGCCUUGCGCUACCGGAUAUGCCCAGGUGGGAUUAGCUAGUUGGUGA